rnacentral:misc_RNA from 1 species
GAUGAAGAACGUAGCGAUAUGCGAUACUUGGUGUGAAUUGCAGAAUCCCGUGAACCAUCGAGUCUUUGAACGCAAGUUGCGCCUCAAGCCAUUAGGUUGAGGGCACGUCUGCCUGGGCGUCACAUAUCGUUGCCUGAUGCCAGUUUCCUCGUGAUGGGUGACUGUGCAGGGCGAAUGAUGGCUUCCCGUGAGCAUUGUUGCCUCAUGGUUGGUUGAAAAUUGAGUCCUUGGUAGGGAGCGCCGUGAUAGAUGGUGGUUGAGUGACGAACGAGACCCAAUCAUGUGAGACCCCUACCGAAUUUGGCCUUCAUGACCCACAUGCGUCUUUGGAACGCUCAUGACGAGACCUCAGGUCAGGCGGGGCUACCCGCUGAGUUUAAGCAUAUCAAUAAGCGGAGGA